AAAGAUUUAAACUCUAAAGAUUGGUAUGAAAAUGAUUAAAUUUUCCCUAUUAUUUUCCCCUCUCUCCCAGUGUGAUUAAUUUCACUCUGUCUUACUCUAUGAUCCAUGAUGCUUCUGCUGAGACUCCUCAUUCAGUAAAACCUGUUUAGGAGAUCAUCUCUGUUAGACAGACAGCUGCCAAAAAGACAUUCACUUCAGCAUGGAUUUUAGAUUAUAGCCAAUCAAGACUCAGAGCUGGAACACCUGUCAGAGCCGUUUUUCUACAACAAGAUGGUCUCUUUAAUCACAUUUCAUUCUCCUUCAGAAAAAGGUUCAUUUUAAAAUGUGGCAUCUGCUUUUAUGAUUCAUUGUUUUCAGCUGAACCACCAAUUUGGAGCUGAUUUAUGACAUCGUUCUAUAGUGAAACGAGAAACUGCAACAAAGUGUUUAAGAAGGAAGGAUUUUCCCAGACAUUUGGUUUGUGGCCUUCUCUUUUAGAAAAAAAAAAAUCUAAAAAUUUAUUUUGAACUUUUCUUUGUGAAUAUAAUUGACAAUAGGAAUUCUUCAAGCAAACUUUCAAAAUAUGUAAACUAAAUUGUGAAAACAUCUCAUGGAAUGUGGAGAACUUUCCAGUGUUGAAAUGUGUUAAAUUUAUCUGUGAACAUGCAAAGUAUUAUUGAUACUGACUGGUGUUUAGAGGAAUUAUACUUGAUUUUGAACUUGGCUAUAGUCGGAGGCACUGCUAAGUACUUGAAACACAGGUACUUUCUAACAUCUGCAGACUGUACUGACAUCACAAAAUCAUUGUCAGAGUUACAGCAUUUGAGGAAGGAAAGAUCAUUGAGGUCACCUGUCUGUCUCGGCUCCUGUUGACAUUGAGGAGGGGGGUUCAGCCUAAUAGUUCCAGCCACCAAGCAUUUGCUGUGUUAGUGCUGUCAUUUUGCCAUGGAUCCUUUGCAAGAAGUAGAGUCUGCAGCUUAUCACAGCAAAGAGGUGUGUGAGGGCCAGCCCAAAAUCACUGUUGGCAAAAGCACACAGCCCCCUUUGUCCCCAGGAUAAAGGAUGCUCUACUCAGAAGUAACUUGAGCAAGUACAGGGCUUAGUCCCUACAGAAAGACAUCUAUUGACAUAUAUUUCCUUCUGAUUUAAAAUUAAUGCCUAAUAUUCCAAUGGUCAUAUUUCCAAAUCCCUGGUGCCACUCUGUUUUGUAUUACGCACACCCCCUGCUGCCCAAGUUUGCAGACUCAGAACCACACAGAAUAAAAACAGCAGGACGUACCUCCAGGAUUUAAGUACAACACACAUUUUCAACUCAAAUCACAAGAUAUUUUUCUUCACCCUUCCCCCAUCAACUCCCAUGGUUCCUAAGGUUUGGAAAGAUUGUAGAACAGAAGGGAUCCACUGAAGUAAACACAUCUCACAUCCUGGUGGUGUUUUCCAGACUGCCACAUGUGGCCCCGUGUGUUAAGUCACUGAACAUUUCUUGUGAGCUGGCACCCCACAUGGGCCUUCACCUCCUACAGAG
rnacentral:lncRNA from 1 species